UUUUUCUUCACUCUUACCUUUUAUUAUUUUAUUAUUUUAGCCAGUUGGCUUAAUAAUUUAGGUCCAACAUUAAUCACUCUUUCCGGAAUAUGCAGCCCGUAGCUUCUUUUGUUCAGCUUGAUCAAAUCAGCUUUGAGUGAUGUUGAGUCUCAUCGCUACUCCUUGGCGUCCGAACAGUCUUUGAAUGUCUUUCCAAUUAAACGGGUGGAAUGCUACUGGUGGCAAUACUGUGAAACUGUUCCCUAUCAUCGUCUCUUGUGCUCUCUGCACUACUCUUGUCACCAAGUAAGAACCGCAUUGUUCAGCCUUGUCCAGUUCUUUGAAUCUCCUUCCACCACUGUUUGCGCUCCUAUUGAGUUCUUCAACCCUUUAAAGCUUCUACUGACGAUGAAGUCUGUGUCCAGCUUUUCAUUUCUUGAAACCAAGUUUUGGCUUGUGUGUUCUCAAGCAGCAAUGAAAGGUCUGGUGUGGCUGGAAACACCUUGUAACCAAGAUCACAUAGCGGUUUCAGGAUGGUAUCCCGUUUGUUAGGUGGAAAAUUUGUAUGGUUCUGAAUCUGGUCUUCAGCUGUUUGGGUUCUUUGCAUCUCCUCGUGCUGAUGUAAUUAAUUCGUCUGAAUCGCGUUUUGUGUCUCUCUCACAUAGAUCUUGCGAGGGAUGGCCUUACUAUCUGAACAAAGGAGCUUCUUUGAAUAUUUCAUAUAAUGCUAAACCUGAAGGCUGUUUUGUUCGGCUUGUGGUCCAUAAAGGAACGGCCAGUCACUGCUUAUUGGAGGAACCUCCAUUUCAUCGGACCGCUCUCUCAUUGAAUCUGAUUCACGGGAGUGAUGUGAUUCAAGUGAACAUAAGUAGAUCUAAAAGUUAUCAUCUUAAUGUGGCUAACCCCAACUUGAAGGACGUAGAGAGGUGGAGCUGGAUAUUGAUGUGAGUGCAUAUUCAAUACAAUGCCUCUUGUUGGAAGUUCUAUUAUUUUAACUUCACCAGCACCGAG